CAUGGACCUAAAGCGUAGAUCCACUUACUUUUCCCCCACGGAAUUGGAAAUUCUAAUGAACGCGUAUACCGAGUAACUGCUCCCGCGGCAGCGAGAGCGUGAGAGAGAGCUCGGCAGGAAAUAGCUGAACAAGUCAAUGCGUGAGUAAAAUAAAUUAGUAAAAUAAAAUAAAAAUAAGAGGACAGGUUAAUAUCUUCCACUUAUUCAAUAUGUAAUUUGUGUGUGUGUGUGUGUGUGUGUGUGUCAAUUUACGCAGGAACAACCCGAGUUGCUCCAAGAGAACUUGGCAGCAAAUGAAGAUGAAGUACAAAAAUAUAGUUCAAACAGCAGAGGCCCGGAAGACUGGAGGGGGUCCACCUCUGCAGCCCUCACAGAGGCUGAGGAGAUGGCCCUCAGAGAACAGAGUAUGCGUCCUGUGGCUGAGGGCAUCCCUGGGGGGAGCUCCUCUGAUCCCCCCCCAACCCCCAGGAUAGAAGUGCCUUUAUAAGAGUUACUGAUGGCGUCAUCGCCCUACUUGAACCAGAUGCCCUCACCAACCUCCAUGCAAUUGAAGAUGAUGGAGAAACAUUGUCUGCGGCAUUCGAAAGGGAAGAGGAAAGGCCUAUUGAGGAUGAAAUCGAAUCCAAUGAGAGGCCAUCCACUUCUAAAUCACAGCUUGCCUCUCUUCCAGUCAAAGACUUAUAUAAAAUAAAAAGCAAAUACACAAAGCAGACUUGGAAAUGGACCACCUUAGGCAAAAGAUGCAAAAGGAUGCUUUGGAGAUCCACAUUUUGGAACAUAAGUUAAAGGUGGGUGAGGUGCAAACUGGGAUCCUGUUCCCUGCUCUAAAAACAUACCCGAUAUGAAUGACUUUUUUUGUGCUUUCAGGAAAUAAAGAAAUCCUCAUAAAAAGUAGCUUGUCUUUAUUAGAACACGGGCUGUGGUGGGACAAGUUAUUUUGUUGAACA
ensembl:lncRNA